rnacentral:rRNA from 1 species
UUAAUUAAGGGCUUAAUCAUGGCCCCGAACGAAUGCUAUCUGGUUGUUUGACACAUGCAAGUCUACGGUUAGUUAUCUAAUCGUGGCGUACGGGCGAGUAUAAUUAGGAAGCUACCUCUAGGAUGUCUAAUAGACAAUAUUGAAAGAAUCGUAUUUCGCCUAUUGAUGCUCUUAAUUCACAGCAGUUAGUUGGUGAGGUAAUGGCUUACCAAGGCGAUGACGUGAAGGUGCAGGAUGAAAGUCUCAACACCCGCAGUGGAGAAUGAAAAGUCCCACAUUCUAAUUUUAGAAGCAGCAGUGGAGGAUCAUCGUCAAUGAUCGUAAGAUUGAACGUGCAAACCAGAAUCUGAUUUAAGUUUAGGCUUAACGGAUGUAGUAAGGCAGGAUAAUGACCAGUCUUACUAAUAGUCGCGACCAACCCCGGUGCCAGCAGUUGCGGUUACACCGGUGCGGCGAGCAUUGUUCGUUGUGAAUAGGCGUAAAGGGUACGUAGGUUGCACUUUACCAUAUUAUUAAUAUAGGUAGAGAGCUAGAAUCCGAUAGGAGUAACCAGAAUUUCGAGAGUAGUGCUGAUAUACUUUGAUACUCGAAGGACUGCCAAUGGCGGAAGCAGGUUACUAGGUAGAGAUUGACACUGAGGUACGAAAGCGUAGGGAGCAAACAGAAUUAGAUACUCUGGUAGUCUACGCCCUAAACGAUGAGUGCUAGAGCUCUCUGAAUUGGAGGACUCUUAGCAAACGCAAUAAGCACUCCGCCUGGGAAGUACAGUCACACGACAGAACACCAAAUGAUUAGACGGUCCCGAGAACCCGCAGUGAAGCAUGACGCUUAAUGCGAUGACCCGCGCAUAACCUUACCUACACUUGAAUCCCGAUACAUUUCAAAACGAUAUUGGUGACAGGUGCUACAUGACCCUCUUCAGCAUGUGCUGUCAAGUGCUUGGUUAAAUCCGCUAACAUGCGCAAUCCUUACUACUAAUUAUAUACUUAGUAGUUUAUAACUGACAUAGUUAUAGAGUAGGGCUAAGAGAGGUCCCCAUGACCCCCAUGUGUAGGGCUGCCGUUGUGCUGCGAAGACCUCAACAAUAUGAUGCAACGCUGUGAAGCUGAGCUAAUCACCAAAUGAGGUCACACGAAUUGUAGCCUGCAAUCGGCUACAUGAAAUAGGAAUUGCGAGUAAUCGUGCAGUAGUGCGGCACGGUGAAAAUACCACUCGGGAUGUACUAAUUACUCGUCACAUCUGGAAAGAAUCUUAACGGUGAAACCUGGUUGAGUACUCGCCCGGCUACGCCGGGCGUUAGAAAUAGCCUAUAUCAGUAACUGAACUCUCAGUUGUUGAAUACCUAGAUUCAAGACAUACAAGACUUUGUGAACUAUUAACUUUGAUUUGGAUGAAGUCGAAAUAUAGGAGUGGCACGGGAACGUGCUGCUGAAAAAUAUAAUAC